rnacentral:rRNA from 1 species
GGUUAAGUGAAUAAGGGCGCACGGUGGAUGCCUUGGCACUAGAAGCCGAUGAAGGACGGGACUAACUCCGAUAUGCUUUGGGGAGCUGUAAGUAAGCUAUGAUCCAGAGAUUUCCGAAUGGGGGAACCCAGCAUCUUUAAUAGGAUGUUACUAUUAAGUGAAUACAUAGCUUAAUAGAGGUAGACGCAGAGAACUGAAACAUCUAAGUACCUGCAGGAAGAGAAAGAAAAAUCGAUUUCCUUAGUAGCGGCGAGCGAAACGGAACCAGCCCAAACCAACAAGCUUGCUUGUUGGGGUUGUAGGACUCAG